CAGCAGCCACGGUAAUACGUAGGUGGCAAGCGUUGUCCGGAAUUAUUGGGCGUAAAGGGCUCGCAGGCGGUUUCCUAAGUCUGAUGUGAAAGCCCCCGGCUCAACCGGGGAGGGUCAUUGGAAACUGGGAAACUUGAGUGCAGAAGAGGAGAGUGGAAUUCCACGUGUAGCGGUGAAAUGCGUAGAGAUGUGGAGGAACACCAGUGGCGAAGGCGACUCUCUGGUCUGCAACUGACGCUGAGGAGCGAAAGCGUGGGGAGCGAACAGGAUUAGAUACCCCCGUAGUCCCUGUCUCUUAUAC
rnacentral:rRNA from 1 species